CGGGUGAGUAACGCGUAGGUAACCUGCCUUGUAGCGGGGGAUAACUAUUGGAAACGAUAGCUAAUACCGCAUAACAAUGGAUGACCCAUGUCAUUUAUUUGAAAGGGGCAAAUGCUCCACUACAAGAUGGACCUGCGUUGUAUUAGCUAGUAGGUGUGGUAACGGCUCACCUAGGCGACGAUACAUAGCCGACCUGAGAGGGUGAUCGGCCACACUGGGACUGAGACACGGCCCAGACUCCUACGGGAGGCAGCAUG
rnacentral:rRNA from 1 species